UACGGAGGGGGCUAGCGUUGUUCGGAAUUACUGGGCGUAAAGCGCGCGUAGGCGGAUCUGCAAGUCGGGGGUGAAAUCCCGAGGCUCAACCUCGGAACUGCCUUCGAUACUGCGGGUAUCGAGUCCGGGAGAGGUGAGUGGAAUUCCUAGUGUAGAGGUGAAAUUCGUAGAUAUUAGGAAGAACACCAGUGGCGAAGGCGGCUCACUGGCCCGGUACUGACGCUGAGGCGCGAAAGCGUGGGGAGCAAACAGG
rnacentral:rRNA from 1 species